AGAAAAUAUUCUAUCUUCUUUCUUCGACUUCGGUGGUAUCGAAGUAUGGAGAAACGCGAUUCCUUCUCCUCCGGCGUUUGAUCUUGGCGUCGAUGGCGGCGGCGACACAAGCUCCUUCUCCUCCGGCCGGCGUUCUGCUUAGAGUCCGGUGGAUUCUUCUCAUCGGAAACGCGACCGUGAACAGAAGAAGCGACUUGAUUCAUUGGCUUUGAUUCAUUGGAUUAUUAAAGAGGUAAAACUAUUUCCUUGAUUCAUUGGUUUUGUUGUUAAAGAAUUAGGCAUGUGUUCGAUUGAUUUAGGGUUUAGAGGUAAAACUAUUUCCUGCGACGAUUUUGAUUUGUGUGUAUGUGGUGGAUAUCAAUCAUGUCGGAUGCUCUGAUCAAUGGAUUGGCUGGAGCUGGUGGUGGGAUCAUUGCUCAACUCCUCACUUAUCCUCUCCUAAUCAGAUGUAUCGGUUCACUGUGUUAAUGGACAUCAAAGUUCACCAAAGGAGUUAAACUGGCUGAGCUGGGUUUACUUAGCGAGAUGAGUUAAACUGGGUUUCUAAGUUAGACAUCAUGUUUGUCUGAGCUUGUUUCUUUGUUUAUCUUCUGAGCUCUUGUUUUUUGUACAAGUUUGAUUGUGUCUGGAUUGGAUGCAGGGCACUAAGGAUGCAGGGCACUUUUUGUUUGUUAAACUAAGAGUAACGUGAUCUUGGUGUUUUAGAAGAUUUUCACGGGGGCAAUACCUCUGUAUUGCAAUGAAACAGAUGGAGUUCCAGAAACAGAGACCAUGGAGCAGUACUAUAUGGAAAGGGUAUGGCUUCUCAUCUGAUAUACUAUCGAGUAUGUAACUCUCUGGUUUUACUUGAACGUGUAUUGACAUUGUUGGGUAGAGAAGCUAGUAAGCUUUGAGAUUGGUUAAUCAUUACCUUAUUUGUAUUAUACACCAUGUGAUACUCUUUGUAAGUAAAAAGAUGUCAAGUCUUUUGUUAUGCAUUUAAAAAAAAAAA